AUUGAACGCUGGCGGCAUGCCUUACACAUGCAAGUCGAACGGCAGCACGGGAGCAAUCCUGGUGGCGAGUGGCGAACGGGUGAGUAAUAUAUCGGAACGUGCCCAGUCGUGGGGGAUAACGUAGCGAAAGCUACGCUAAUACCGCAUACGAUCUAUGGAUGAAAGCGGGGGGAUCGCAAGACCUCGCGCGAUUGGAGCGGCCGAUAUCAGAUUAGGUAGUUGGUGAGGUAAAGGCUCACCAAGCCGACGAUCUGUAGCUGGUCUGAGAGGACGACCAGCCACACUGGGACUGAGACACGGCCCCAGACUCCUACGGGAGGCAGCAGUGGGGGAAUUUUUGGACAAUGGGCGCAAGCCUGAUCCAGCAAUGCCG
rnacentral:rRNA from 1 species